rnacentral:rRNA from 1 species
UAGGGAAUCUUCGGCAAUGGGGGGAACCCUGACUGAGCAACGCCGCGUGAGUGAAGAAGGUUUUCGGAUCGUAAAGCUCCGUUGUUAAGGAAGAACGAGUGUGAGAAUGGAAAGUUCAUACUGUGACGGUACUUAACCAGAAAGGGACGGCUAACUACGUGCCAGCAGCCGCGGUAAUACGUAGGUCCCGAGCGUUGUCCGGAUUUAUUGGGCGUAAAGCGAGCGCAGGCGGUUAGAUAAGUCUGAAGUUAAAGGCAGUGGCUCAACCAUUGUAGGCUUUGGAAACUGUUUAACUUGAGUGCAGAGGGGGAGGGUGGAAUUCCAUGUGUAGCGGUGAAAUGCGUAGAUAUAUGGAGGAACACCGGUGACGAAGGCGGCUCUCUGGUCUGUAACUGACGCUGAGGCUCGAAAGCGUGGGGAGCGAACAGG